rnacentral:rRNA from 1 species
CUACGGGGUGCAGCAGUGGGGGAUAUUGCACAAUGGAGGAAACUCUGAUGCAGCAACGCCGCGUGAGGGAAGAAGGUUUUCGGAUUGUAAACCUCUGUUUUUGGUGAAGAAAGAAAUGACGGUAGCCGAAGAGGAAGCCACGGCUAACUACGUGCCAGCAGCCGCGGUAAUACGUAGGUGGCAAGCGUUGUCCGGAAUUACUGGGUGUAAAGGGUGCGCAGGCGGGACUGCAAGUUGGAUGUGAAAUACCGGGGCUCAACCCCGGAGCUGCAUCCAAAACUGGGGUUCUUGAGUGAAGUAGAGGUAAGCGGAAUUCCGAGUGUAGCGGGGAUAUGCGUAGAUAUUCGGAGGAACACCAGUGGCGAAGGCGGCUUACUGGGCUUUAACUGACGCUGAGGCACGAAAGCAUGGGGAGCAAACAGGAUUAGAUACCCUCGUAGUC